rnacentral:tRNA from 2 species
GGGCCCAUAGCUCAGUUGGUUAGAGCAUCUGACUCAUAAUCAGAGGGUCACAGGUUCGAGACCUGUUGGGCCCA